rnacentral:rRNA from 1 species
UACGUAGGGUGCAAGCGUUGCUCGGAAUCACUGGGCGUAAAGAGCGUGUAGGCGGCUUGGCAAGCGGGAUGUGAAAGCCCCCGGCUUAACCGGGGAGGCGCAUUCCGAACUGCUUGGCUUGAGUCCGGGAGAGGGUGGUAGAAUUCCCGGUGGAACGGUGAAAUGUGUAGAUAUCGGGAGGAAUACCUGUGGCGAAGGCGGCCACCUGGACCGGAACUGACGCUGAAACGCGAAAGCGUGGGGAGCAAACAGGAUUAGAUACCCUCGUA